rnacentral:rRNA from 1 species
CCAGCUCCAAUAGCGUAUAUUAAAGUUGUUGCAGUUAAAAAGCUCGUAGUUGGAUUUCUGGCAGGGUGACUUUGCCCUCAAGUUGAGUGCGCUGAGCCGCCCUACCAUCCUUCUGUUAACCCUUCAGAGCUUAAUAACUUUGUUGGGGGCUCAGAUAUUUUACCUUGAGAAAAUUAGAGUGUUUCAGGCAGGCUAGCGCCGGAAUACAUUAGCAUGGAAUAAUAGAAUAGGACUUUUACCUCUUCUGUUGGUCUGAGGGGUUCAAGUAAUGAUUAAUAGGGAUAGUUGGGGGCAUUAGUACUUAACUGUCAGAGGUGAAAUUCUCGGAUUUGUUAAAGACUAACUUAUGCGAAAGCAUUUGCCAAGGAUGUUUUCA